GAUGAAGAACGUAGCGAAAUGCGAUAAGUAAUGUGAAUUGCAGAAUUCAGUGAAUCAUCGAAUGUUUGAACGCUCAUUGCGACCGCCAGUAUUCUGGCGGGCAUGCCUGUCCGAGCGUCAUUUCAACCCUCAGGGCCCGCCUGCUUCGGCAGGCGCGGCGCUGGUGUUGGGGAUCGGCCUAACCGCCGUCCCCCAAAUACAGUGGCGGUCUCGCUGCAGCCUCCCCUGCGUAGUAGCAACACUCGCACGCGGAGCGCGGCGCGGCCACGCCGUAAAACCCCCGACUUUCUGAACGUUGACCUCGGAUCAGGUAGGAAUACCCGCUGAACUUAAGCAUAUCAAUAAGCGGAGGA
rnacentral:misc_RNA from 1 species